UACGGGGGGAGCAAGCGUUGUUCGGAUUUACUGGGCGUAAAGGGCGCGUAGGCGGCGUGACAAGUCACUUGUGAAAUCUCCGGGCUUAACUCGGAGCGGCCAAGUGAUACUGUCGUGCUAGAGUGCGGAAGGGGCUACUGGAAUUCUCGGUGUAGCGGUGAAAUGCGUAGAUAUCGAGAGGAACACCUGCGGCGAAGGCGGGUUGCUGGGCUGACACUGACGCUGAUGCGCGAAAGCUAGGGGAGCGAACGGG
rnacentral:rRNA from 1 species